UUGAAGGUGGCCGCAUUUUGUAUAUAUGUUAGGAAUCAGGCCCAAAAUAGGACCGUCAGCGUACUAUUAUGAGACGAGUUCCCAAAAAAAUUUUGAGCCCGAUUAACUAAAGUCUUUCAGAGAUAAUCGCAUCACAACAAAAUUUUUAUUCAAAAACACGUAAAAAUCGAACAAAUUGUGCCCGCAUUUUAAAACGACGUAGAGGAUCGGGAUAAAAAAAAUUGUUUUUCAGUUUAUGCGAGGGGAGAGUUCUCCUAAAAUUGCAGCCUGAUCGAUCGAAAAUUGCGUGAGAUAUCGCAUCUCACACAUUUUUCGCGCACGAAACUAUAAGGCUACAGCGUGUCAUCGGGCUACUCAGCCUCGCUGCUGUACGGAGUCAGCUCUGCAAGCCUCACGCGCUGUCGGCGUCGAGAACUGAAUCUAUGCAGGCGCUUUUUCCGUGAAUAAUGAAUCCGCGAUGUUCUCUGUGCACAUACACAAUAUAAAAGGGCCUGCUUAAUAACGGUCGCAGCUCUGCUAUCGAGCAGCGCACAUGUGUAAACGAAAACUGUACGAUGAAUUCGCUCUCCUCUUACUCUCUUUUUCUCUCGACGUCUGUAUCCCCUACACUCACGCAAAUAAUAGUAAUCUUCAAUAAUUUAAAUAUUUACCUUCUCCAACAACUCUCUAUCCAAAAGCACUUCCUCUACGUUGCGACAAUUCGUUGCGAUUGUCUCGGCGACGAGGUUGAACUUGGACGUGUUUGGGCUAUAGACAUUUUUUACUAAUUAAUGUCAAUAUCUCACUACUCAAUAUCACUCGUUUGAAGUUAAAAAAAAUUGUUGAAAGAAUAAAUAUUUUAACGAAAUGAAAACUAAAGAACUCUUCAAAACGUCUUGACGAUUCGACGAUUCGAAAAGAAGUGACAGUUUUUGUUUACGUGUUAAUACACGCAGUCUUUUCCAAGCCGAAUUCGCGGAAACCCUUUGGUAGGUAAGAAAGACUAUCGGAGGAGGUGGGGUGGUGGGGCGAUGCGGCGCCGGCAGUGUAGCACACGUGGGUUUUGACAGUAUAGACACUAUUUGGCUAUACUUAUCAGCGAACACGUUCCCACUUUUCCGCUGUGUCAGUACUCGGUAGUCAACGCUCAGUGCUAGUCGCAGCUUGUUUUGUGCGAGCCUUAUUUUCUCAGCACUAGAAGAAAAGUGAGCAUGAACCGCAGAGGCUUCGUACCUCGUGGCCGUUUUCGAGGGAGAAACCGAGGACGCGGUGGUCGGGCGGCGUCUCGUUCAGUUGGAGAUUACGCACGAUACCGCCCUUAUUGCUAUAAUAUUGGGAUUUGGAUAUUGGGAUUUGGAUUGGAUUGUUAAGGAUCCUCGUACCUCGGCGUUCCCAUUAUUAGUGAAUCCUGUGCAUCAACAUGAGGCUGAAAGGAACGCCAAUGUUGCUCAAAAUCAGCAGGCUGACGAUGCACAAGAUCAGAAUGCCCAGGAGGAAGUAAACAUUGGUGCUGAUAAUGCAGCAAAUGGAAAUGCUCGAGAUGCAGCAAAUAAAAAGGCUCCAGAUCAAGAAUUGCCUCCACCGAAGCCUUUUACAUGGGAUUAUCUAAAAGAAGU
rnacentral:lncRNA from 1 species